rnacentral:rRNA from 1 species
UCCAGACUCCUACGGGAGGCAGCAGUGGGGAAUAUUGCACAAUGGGGGAAACCCUGAUGCAGCGACGCCGCGUGAGCGAAGAAGUAUUUCGGUAUGUAAAGCUCUAUCAGCAGGGAAGAAAAUGACGGUACCUGACUAAGAAGCUCCGGCUAAAUACGUGCCAGCAGCCGCGGUAAUACGUAUGGAGCAAGCGUUAUCCGGAUUUACUGGGUGUAAAGGGAGCGUAGGCGGUAAGGCAAGUCUGAUGUGAAAGGCCAGGGCUCAACCCUGGGACUGCAUUGGAAACUGUUUAACUGGAGUGUCGGAGAGGCAAGUGGAAUUCCUAGUGUAGCGGUGAAAUGCGUAGAUAUUAGGAGGAACACCAGUGGCGAAGGCGGCUUGCUGGACGAUGACUGACGCUGAGGCUCGAAAGCGUGGGGAGCAAACAGGAUUAGAUACCCCAGUA